GACGAACGCUGGCGGCGUGCCUAAUACAUGCAAGUAGAACGCUGAAGGAGGAGCUUGCUUCUCUGGAUGAGUUGCGAACGGGUGAGUAACGCGUAGGUAACCUGCCUGGUAGCGGGGGAUAACUAUUGGAAACGAUAGCUAAUACCGCAUAAGAGUAGAUGUUGCAUGACAUUUGCUUAAAAGGUGCAAUUGCAUCACUACCAGAUGGCCCUGCGUUGUAUUAGCUAGUUGGUGAGGUAACGGCUCACCAAGGCGACGAUACAUAGCCGACCUGAGAGGGUGAUCGGCCACACUGGGACUGAGACACGGCCCAGACACCUACGGGAGGCAGCAGUAGGGAAUCUUCGGCAAUGGACGGAAGUCUGACCGAGCAACGCCGCGGGAGUGAAGAAGGUUUUCGGAUCGUAAAGCUCUGUUGUAAGAGAAGAACGAGUGUGAGAGUGGAAAGUUCACACUGUGACGGUAUCUUACCAGAAAGGGACGGCUAACUACGUG
rnacentral:rRNA from 1 species